rnacentral:rRNA from 1 species
UGGGGAAUUUUGCACAAUGGGGGAAACCCUGAUGCAGCGACGCCGCGUGAUUUAGAAGGCCUUCGGGUUGUAAAAAUCUUUUCUAUGGGAAUAAAAUGACAGUACCAUAGGAAUAAGGACCGGCUAAUUACGUGCCAGCAGCCGCGGUAAUACGUAAGGUCCGAGCGUUGUCCGGAAUCAUUGGGCGUAAAGGGUACGUAGGCGGGUAAGCAAGUUAGAAGUGAAAUCCUAUAGCUCAACUAUAGUAAGCUUUUAAAACUGCUCAUCUUGAGGUAUGGAAGGGAAAGUGGAAUUCCUAGUGUAGCGGUGAAAUGCGCAGAUAUUAGUAGGAAUACCGGUGGCGAAGGCGACUUUCUGGCCAUAACCUGACGCUGAGGUACGAAAGCGUGGGUAGCAAACAGG